UACGGAAGGGGGCUAGCGUUGCUCGGAAUCACUGGGCGUAAAGCGCACGUAGGCGGCUUUCUAAGUCAGGGGUGAAAUCCUGGAGCUCAACUCCAGAACUGCCUUUGAUACUGGAGGGCUUGAGUCCGGAAGAGGUGAGUGGAACUCCGAGUGUAGAGGUGAAAUUCGUAGAUAUUCGGAAGAACACCAGUGGCGAAGGCGGCUCACUGGUCCGGUACUGACGCUGAUGUGCGAAAGCGUGGGGAGCAAACAGG
rnacentral:rRNA from 1 species